GCACUAGUGUUGAUGUAAACCAAUUGUAUACAGCAGUCAGCAUCAGAGAGAUGAACGUACACAGGGUUGUAAGCGAGAUAAUUGGCCAAAGCUUGAGCACGACUUCAAUUUACACUUUGGCCCCAAUGAAAUACGUUGAUAACAUGGUGGUGUUAUUUGCUUGUACGGUCUUUAUGUACUUUGAGAAAAGGUUGUGCGGUGUUGUUAAGAGGAUUCAUUUUAGUCCGUUAUACUCGGUAAAUAAAAUUUGAUAUUGUAUCAUAUUUAUGAUUG